rnacentral:rRNA from 1 species
AACGAACGCUGGCGGCAGGCCUAAAACAUGCAAGUCGAACGAUCUAGCAAUAGAUAGUGGCGCACGGGUGAGUAACACGUGGGAAUAUCCCUUUCACUACGGAACAACGUCGGGAAACUGACGCUAAUACCGUAUAAUGUCUCCGGACCAAAGAUUUAUCGGUGAAAGAUUAGCCAGCGUCUGAUUAGCUAGUUGGUGAGGUAACGGCUCACCAAGGCAACGAUCAGUAGCUGGUCUGAGAGGAUGAUCAGCCACACUGGAACUGAGACACGGUCCAGACUCCUACGGGAGGCAGCAGUUAGGAAUAUUGGACAAUGGGGGCAACCCUGAUCCAGCCAUGCCGCGUGUGUGACGAAGGCCUUAGGGUUGUAAAGCACUUUCGUCUACGAAGAUAAUGACAGUAGUAGAAGAAGAAGCUCCGGCUAAAUUCGUGCCAGCAGCCGCCGCGG